CAGCCGCCGCGGUAAUACGUAGGGUGCGAGCGUUAAUCGGAUUUACUGGGCGUAAAGCGUGCGCAGGCGGCCCGUUAAGACAGGUGUGAAAUCCCUGGGCUCAACCUAGGAAUUGCGCUUGUGACUGGCGGGCUCGAGUACGGUAGAGGGGGGUGGAAUUCCUGGUGUAGCAGUGAAAUGCGUAGAGAUCAGGAGGAACACCGAUGGCGAAGGCAGCCCCCUGGGCCUGUACUGACGCUCAUGCACGAAAGCGUGGGGAGCAAACAGGAUUAGAUACCCUGGUAGUCCACGCCCGAAACGAUGGGUACUAGCCGUUUGGUGCGCGAUAGCGCUGAGUGGCGAAGCUAACGCGUGAAGUACCCCGCCUGGGGAGUACGGCCGCAAGGUUGAAACUUAAAGGAAUUGGCGGG
rnacentral:rRNA from 1 species